AGAAGCUCAGCUUAUCUAUCACAAAUCACAAGCUCUCGCUUGCUUCUUCAUCAUCAUCAAUGGCGAAGGAUCCCGUCCGAGUUCUCGUCACCGGCGCCGCAGGGCAAAUCGGAUAUGCUCUGGUACCUAUGAUUGCCAGGGGAGUGAUGUUGGGCGCAGAUCAGCCUGUAAUUCUCCACAUGUUGGAUAUUCCACCUGCUGCUGAGGCACUGAAUGGAGUGAAGAUGGAAUUAGUAGAUGCUGCCUUCCCUCUUCUUAAGGGUGUCGUUGCCACAACUGAUGCUGUUGAGGCAUGCACCGGUGUCAACGUUGCGGUCAUGGUUGGAGGUUUCCCCAGGAAAGAAGGCAUGGAAAGGAAAGAUGUGAUGUCAAAGAAUGUGUCUAUUUACAAGUCCCAGGCAUCUGCACUUGAGAAGCAUGCAGCUCCCAACUGCAAGGUGUUGGUUGUUGCUAACCCUGCUAAUACAAAUGCAUUGAUCUUGAAAGAAUUUGCACCAUCCAUUCCUGAGAAGAAUAUUACCUGUCUCACAAGGUUGGACCAUAACAGGGCCCUCGGCCAAAUCUCAGAGAGACUGAGUGUCCAAGUUAGUGAUGUUAAAAAUGUCAUUAUUUGGGGAAACCACUCAUCAUCACAGUAUCCUGAUGUCAACCAUGCAACAGUUUCAACACCAGCUGGUGAUAAGCCAGUCCGUGAACUUGUUGCUGAUGAUGCAUGGUUGAACGGUGAGUUCAUUUCUACUGUACAGCAGAGGGGUGCUGCCAUUAUCAAGGCUAGAAAGCUUUCUAGUGCCCUUUCCGCUGCUAGUUCUGCUUGUGAUCACAUUCGUGACUGGGUCCUUGGAACUCCAGAGGGAACUUUUGUUUCUAUGGGUGUUUACUCUGAUGGGUCAUACAAUGUCCCAGCUGGGCUUAUUUAUUCCUUCCCAGUUACAUGCAAAAAUGGAGAAUGGUCCAUUGUUCAAGGUCUUCCAAUUGACGAGUUCUCAAGAAAGAAGUUGGACUUGACAGCCGAGGAACUAUCAGAGGAAAAAGCAUUGGCUUACUCCUGCCUUGCUUAAAUUGCCCGAAUAUCCUAAACUGCCUUUUAACCAUAUGAGGAGUGUAUGUGGUAAUAGAAGAAGUGGCUUCAGUUUUGAAUAAGGCCAUUGUUGAUUCUUGAGGGAAGUGAUGAUGGGG
rnacentral:misc_RNA from 1 species